rnacentral:tRNA from 1 species
GGGAAUGUGGCUUAGUGGUAGAGUGCUUGCCUAGUAUGCAUGGAGCCCUGGGUUCAAUUCCUCAGUACCA